rnacentral:lncRNA from 1 species
CUUCCAGAAAAUGGAGCGUCGUCUGCGUAGGAGGCUUCUUUGUUCUCUCACUGUGUUCGUGACCAGGUCUCAAUAUUAGCAAUCUUGAAUAUAAUGCUUCUGCAUUGCCUUACUUUGAUAAGCGUGAUUCUGUUCACUCCAUGCGCACAUGGGAACAGUCGGCUGAGAGAGCUCCUUCAAAUAUUACGUAGAAUAUUAUGCCAGAUUGGGACUAGACUUUGAAGGAAAUGCUUAUAUGAAUAUACGUGGACGUAGAAGUGCCGGAGCGAUUACGAAGACACUUAAGUACUGGAACAACACGAAACGUUGUGGAAUUCUAGCACUGCGGCGCCAGGGCAGAAGUCAUUGCGAGCUUCUUGUAUGGAACAAUAAAAUACGACAAAUAUAUGAAGAACGUCGCAACUAUACAGACUGUCAAAAUGAAUACAGGAUGUAUUGUACAAAUGCAACCUUCUUGGUGCAGAUUCACCCCCGUUGCCCCAAUUUCGCCCCUGUAACUCAGCAUACAAGAUUAAUUUGAG